AGUGAACGCUGGCGGUAGGCCUAACACAUGCAAGUCGAACGGCAGCACAGUAAGAGCUUGCUCUUACGGGCGGCGAGUGGCGGACGGGUGAGGAAUACAUCGGAAUCUACUUUUUCGUGGGGGAUAACGUAGGGAAACUUACGCUAAUACCGCAUACGACCUACGGGUGAAAGCAGGGGAUCUUCGGACCUUGCGCGAUUGAAUGAGCCGAUGUCGGAUUAGCUAGUUGGCGGGGUAAAGGCCCACCAUGGCGAGGAUCCGUAGCUGGUCUGAGAGGAUGAUCUGCCACACUAGAACUCAGACCCGGGGCCGGCUCCUACGGGAGGCAGCAGUGGGGAAUAUUGGACACUGGGCGCAAGGCUGAUCCAGCCCAGCCGCGUGGGGGAAGGAGGCCUUCGGAUUAUGAAGCCCUUUUGUUGGGAAAGAAAAGAAGCAGGUUAAUACCCCGCUGUUCUGACGGUACCCAAGGAAUAAGCACCGGCUAACUUCGUG
rnacentral:rRNA from 1 species